GAUGAACGCUGGCGGCGUGCCUAAUACAUGCAAGUCGAGCGAACAGACGAUGAUCUUGCUCCUUUGACGUUAGCGGCGGACGUGUGAGUAACAUGUAUGUAACCUACCUAUAAUACUGGUAUAACUUCGGGAAACCGGCGCUUAUACCGUAUAAUAUUUCGAACCGCAUGGUUCGAUAGUGAAAGAUGGCUUUGCUAUCACUUAUAGACGGACCUGCGCCGUAUUAGCUAGUUGGUAAGGUAACGGCUUACCAAGGCAACGAUACGUAGACGACCUGAGAGGGUGAUCGGCCACACUGGAACUGAGACACGGACCAGGCUCCUACGGGAGGCAGCAGUAGGGAAUGUUACGCAAUGGGCGGAAGCAUGACGGAGCAACGCCGCGUGAGUGAUGAAGGUCUUCGGAUCGUAAAACUCUGUUAUUAGGGAAAAACAAACGUGUAAGUAACUGUGCACGGAUUGACGGUACCUAAUCAGAAAGCAACGGCUAACUACGUG
rnacentral:rRNA from 1 species